UGCGGGGUGGAGCAGUCUGGUAGCUCGUCGGGCUCAUAACCCGAAGGUCGUUGGUUCAAAUCCAGCCCCGCUACCA
rnacentral:tRNA from 2 species